rnacentral:rRNA from 1 species
AGCGAACGCUGGCGGCAGGCUUAACACAUGCAAGUCGAGCGGGCGUAGCAAUACGUCAGCGGCAGACGGGUGAGUAACGCGUGGGAACAUACCUUUUGGUUCGGAACAACACAGGGAAACUUGUGCUAAUACCGGAUAAGCCCUUACGGGGAAAGAUUUAUCGCCGAAAGAUUGGCCCGCGUCUGAUUAGCUAGUUGGUGAGGUAACGGCUCACCAAGGCGACGAUCAGUAGCUGGUCGAGAGGAUGAUCAGCCACAUUGGGACUGAGACACGGCCCAAACUCCUACGGGAGGCAGCAGUGGGGAAUAUUGGACAAUGGGCGCAAGCCUGAUCCAGCCAUGCCGCGUGAGUGAUGAAGGCCCUAGGGUUGUAAAGCUCUUUUGUGCGGGAAGAUAAUGACGGUACCGCAAGAAUAAGCCCCGGCUAAACUUCGUGCCAGCAGCCGCUGU